rnacentral:rRNA from 1 species
AUUGAACGCUGGUGGCAGGCCUAACACAUGAAAGUCGAACGAGUGGCGGACGGGUGAGUAAUGUCUGGGAAACUGCCUGAUGGAGGGGGAUAACUACUGGCAACGGUAGCUAAUACCGCCUACCAUCGGAUGUGCACAGAUGGGAUUAGCUCGUAGGUGGGGUAACGGCUCACCUAGGCGACGAUCCCUAGCUGGGCUGAGAGGAUGACCGGCCAAACUGGAACGGAGACACGGUCCAGACUCCUACGGGAGGCAGCAGUGGGGAAUAUUGCACAAGGGGCGCAAGCCUGAUGCAGCCAUGCCGCGUGUAUGAAGAAGGCCUUCGGGUUGUAAAGUACUUUCAGCGGGGAGGCGUUACCCGCAGAAGAAGCACCGGCUAACUCCGUGCCAGCCGCCGCGGUAAUAC